rnacentral:rRNA from 1 species
AGCUAGAUGGCGGGGUAGUGGCUCACCAUGGCGACGACGGGUAGCUGGUCUGAGAGGAUGGUCAGCCGGACUGGGACUGAGAUACGGCCCAGACUCCUACGGGGGGCAGCAAUUAGGAAUCUCGCGCAAUGGGCGAAAGCCUGACGCAGCGACGCCGCGUGGGGGAGGAAGGCCUUCGGGUUGUAAACCCCUUUUUCGAGGGAAGAAAAAAAUGACGGUACCUCGGGAAUAAGCCCCGGCUAACUCCGUGCCAGCAGCCGCGGUAAUACGGAGGGGGCGAGCGUUGUCCGAAGUUACUGGGCGUAAAGCGCGUGUAGGCGGGUUGUCAAGUCCGCUGUGAAAGCCCGAGGCUCAACCUCGGAGGGUCGGUGGAUACUGACAGUCUUGAAGGUGCUAGGGGGAGAUGGAAUUACCGGUGUAGCGGUGAAAUGCGUAGAGAUCGGUAGGAACACCAGUGGCGAAGGCGGUCUCCUGGGGCAUUCUUGACGCUGAGACGCGAAAGCUGGGGGAGCGAACGGGAUUAGAUACCCCGGUAGUCCCAGCCCUAAACGAUGGAUACUAGGUGUCGGGGGUAUCGACCCCCCCGGUGCCGCCGCUAACGCAGUAAGUAUCCCGCCUGGGGAGUACGGCCGCAAGGUUGAAACUCAAAGGAAUUGACGGAAUCGAAUU